rnacentral:rRNA from 1 species
UACAGAGGGUGCGAGCGUUAGUCGGAGUUACUGGGCGUAAAGGGCGCGUAGGCGGUUAUAUAAGAUUGAUGUGAAAUCCCUGGGCUUAACCUAGGAACUGCAUCGAUGACUGUAUAGCUGGAGUACUGUAGAGGGUGGUAGAAUUUCCGGUGUAGCGGUGAAAUGCGUAGAGAUCGGAAGGAAUACCAGUGGCGAAGGCGGCUACCUGGACAGAUACUGACGCUGAGGCGCGAAAGCGUGGGGAGCGAACAGA